rnacentral:rRNA from 1 species
UGGGGAAUAUUGGACAAUGGGCGAAAGCCUGAUCCAGCCAUGCCGCGUGUGUGAAGAAGGUCUUCGGAUGUAAAGCACUUUAAGUUGGGAGGAAGGGCAGUAAGCGAAUACCUUGCUGUUUUGACGUUACCGACAGAAUAAGCACCGGCUAACUCUGUGCCAGCAGCCGCGGUAAUACAGAGGGUGCAAGCGUUAAUCGGAAUUACUGGGCGUAAAGCGCGCGUAGGUGGUUCGUUAAGUUGAAUGUGAAAGCCCCGGGCUCAACCUGGGAACUGCAUCCAAAACUGGCGAGCUAGAGUAGGGCAGAGGGUGGUGGAAUUUCCUGUGUAGCGGUGAAAUGCGUAGAUAUAGGAAGGAACACCAGUGGCGAAGGCGACCACCCGGGCUCAUACUGACACUGAGGUGCGAAAGCGUGGGGAGCAAACAGG